ACCUAAAGGCCCAAGAGAGAGUGGGCAGCCCAGAGUCUGAUAGCCCAAAAAGAGAGAGGGCAAUCGGACUAAGGAAGGUGGGUACCAGGCAGAAAAGUUCCAUCGGUACCUGGUAACCCAAAGGCCCAAGAGAGAGUGGGCAGCCCAGAGUCUGAUAGCCCAAAAAGAGAGAGGGCAAUCGGACUAAGGAAGGUGGGUACCAGGCAGAAAAGUUCCAUCGGUACCUGGUAACCCAAAGGCCCAAGAGAGAGUGGGCAGCCCAGAGUCUGAUAGCCCAAAAAGAGAGAGGGCAAUCGGACUAAGGAAGGUGGGUACCAGGCAGAAAAGUUCCAUCGGUACCUGGUAACCCAAAGGCCCAAGAGAGAGUGGGCAGCCCAGAGUCUGAUAGCCCAAAAAGAGAGAGGGCAAUCGGACUAAGGAAGGUGGGUACCAGGCAGAAAAGUUCCAUCGGUACCUGGUAACCCAAAGGCCCAAGAGAGAGUGGGCAGCCCAGAGUCUGAUAGCCCAAAAAGAGAGAGGGCAAUCGGACUAAGGAAGGUGGGUACCAGGCAGAAAAGUUCCACCGGCCCAGUGUGGACUUAUGUUCUGGGUGGAAAGCGGCUGGGUGACCAGGUGCACAUGGGCCUUUUUAGGUGACCAGGUGCACAACAUCCAUUUUGGGUGACCAGGUGCACAA